rnacentral:rRNA from 1 species
AUUGAACGCUGGCGGCAUGCCUUACACAUGCAAGUCGAACGGCAGCACGGGAGCAAUCCUGGUGGCGAGUGGCGAACGGGUGAGUAAUAUAUCGGAACGUGCCCAGUCGUGGGGGAUAACGUAGCGAAAGCUACGCUAAUACCGCAUACGAUCUAUGGAUGAAAGCGGGGGAUCGCAAGACCUCGCGCGAUUGGAGCGGCCGAUAUCAGAUUAGGUAGUUGGUGAGGUAAAGGCUCACCAAGCCAACGAUCUGUAGCUGGUCUGAGAGGACGACCAGCCACACUGGAACUGAGACACGGUCCAGACUCCUACGGGAGGCAGCAGUGGGGAAUUUUGGACAAUGGACGCAAGUCUGAUCCAGCCAUUCCGCGUGCAGGAUGAAGGCCCUCGGGUUGUAAACUGCUUUGUACGGAACGAAAAGGUUUCUAUUAAUACUAGGAGCUCAUGACGGUACCGUAAGAAUAAGCACCGGCUAACUACGUG